CAACGCGAAGAACCUUACCAGGUCUUGACAUCCCGAUGCUAUUCUAGAGAUAGAAAGUUACUUCGGUACAUCGGUGACAGGUGGUGCAUGGUUGUCGUCAGCUCGUGUCGUGAGAUGUUGGGUUAAGUCCCGCAACGAGCGCAACCCCUAUUGUUAGUUGCCAUCAUUCAGUUGGGCACUCUAGCGAGACUGCCGGUAAUAAACCGGAGGAAGUGGGGAUGACGUCAAAUCAUCAUGCCCCUUAUGACCUGGGCUACACACGUGCUACAAUGGUUGGUACAACGAGUUGCGAGUCGGUGACGGCGAGCUAAUCUCUUAAAGCCAAUCUCAGUUCGGAUUGUAGGCUGCAACUCGCCUACAUGAAGUCGGAAUCGCUAGUAAUCGCGGAUCAGCACGCCGCGGUGAAUACGUUCCCGGGCCUU
rnacentral:rRNA from 1 species